GACGAACGCUGGCGGCGUGCUUAACACAUGCAAGUCGAACGAAGAGCGAUGGACGCUUGCUUCUAUCAAUCUUAGUGGCGAACGGGUGAGUAACGCGUAAUCAACCUGCCCUUCAGAGGGGGACAACAGUUGGAAACGACUGCUAAUACCGCAUACGCUCCAAUCUCGGCAUCGGGACUGGAUGAAAGGUGGCCUCUAUUUAUAAGCUAUCACUGAAGGAGGGGAUUGCGUCUGAUUAGCUAGUUGGAGGGGUAACGGCCCACCAAGGCGAUGAUCAGUAGCCGGUCUGAGAGGAUGAACGGCCACACUGGGACUGAGACACGGCCCAGACUCCUACGGGAGGCAGCAGUAGGGAAUCUUCCGCAAUGGACGAAAGUCUGACGGAGCAACGCCGCGUGAGUGAUGACGGCCUUCGGGUUGUAAAGCUCUGUUAAUCGGGACGAAUGGUUGUUGUGCGAAAAGUGCGAGGAUUUGACGGUACCGGAAGAGAAAGCCACGGCUAACUACGUG
rnacentral:rRNA from 1 species